CAGACGAGUGCUUGGGCGCAGCAUUUCAGCUGACGUUGGUGCUCUAGAAGGUAGGGCCACCCUGAUGUCAUGACUGCUGUGUCCUCCUUCUUGCUGUUUAUCAGAAGUGAGAUCCAGCAGAUGAGUACUGAAGUUCUUUGGAGUAAUCUUAUCAAGAAGACACACAGUAAGGGCAUUUGACCCCACCUGUACCGGCCCCCCACCUAUUAAUCCAAAGGCCACCGGAAGAAAAAGAGCACACUGUGGGAUGGAGCUACUACCUCGUGACCGACCUAAAAGCCUUUAGACAGUCUGAUGGUUUCUUUUUUGAUUUCUGAGCAUUUUGUUCUAUUUUGCACCAUGGAGCACCCGCUUUUGUUUGAUUUCUUUCAUUUGAUUAAAUGGGGAUGACUGGG